CCUACGGGGGGCUGCAGUGGGGAAUAUUGGACAAUGGGGGGAACCCUGAUCCAGCCAUGCCGCGUGUGUGAAGAAGGCCCUCGGGUUGUAAAGCACUUUCAGUGAGGAAGAACGCCUGGUGGUUAAUACCCAUCAGGAAAGACAUCACUCACAGAAGAAGCACCGGCUAACUCCGUGCCAGCAGCCGCGGUAAUACGGAGGGUGCGAGCGUUAAUCGGAAUUACUGGGCGUAAAGCGCGCGUAGGUGGCUUGAUAAGCCGGUUGUGAAAGCCCCGGGCUCAACCUGGGAACGGCAUCCGGAACUGUCAAGCUAGAGUGCAGGAGAGGAAGGUAGAAUUCCCGGUGUAGCGGUGAAAUGCGUAGAGAUCGGGAGGAAUACCAGUGGUGAAGGCGGCCUUCUGGACUGACACUGACACUGAGGUGCGAAAGCGUGGGUAGCAAACAGGAUUAGAUACCCCAGUAGUC
rnacentral:rRNA from 1 species